rnacentral:piRNA from 1 species
UGACAACAACUUAAAUGACUCCUAAAUGA